rnacentral:sRNA from 1 species
CCAAAAUAAAUAGCAUUUCUUUAAUACAUAUCACUCUGAAUCAAUAAAAUGAUAGAUAAAUUAUGUGUGUGAUUGGUUUGUCUGUAACUGUAGAUUUUUUACUGUAAAAUUUUUGCUGUAUGUGUGAUGGUGGUAGCUGUAGAUUUUAUUGCUGUAGAAAUUAGGCUGUAGGUUUUAUUAAUUUAAUAUUAUUAUUUGAAGAAAUUGGUUGUAGAAAUAAGAUUAUGGUUGUAUGUAUUUUUAAACA